GAUCCUGGCUCAGGACGAACGCUGGCGGCGCGCCUAACACAUGCAAGUCGAACGAGAGAGAGGGAGCUUGCUUCUUCGAUCGAGUGGCGAACGGGUGAGUAACGCGUGAGGAACCUGCCUCAAAGAGGGGGACAACAGUUGGAGACGACUGCUAAUACCGCAUAAGCCCACAGGUCGGCAUCGACCAGAGGGAAAAGGAGCAAUCCGCUUUGAGAUGGCCUCGCGUCCGAUUAG
rnacentral:rRNA from 1 species